GGGUCAGUAGGUUGGUCGUGCCACCGGUACGUACUGGUCUCACUGAUUCCUCCUUCCUGAAGAACCGUAAUGCCAUUAAUUUGGUGUUGGGGUGAAACAGGACUGUUACUUUGAAAAAAUUAGAGUGUUUAAAGCAAGCUAACGCUUGAAUACAUUAGCAUGGAAUAAUGAAAUAGGACGAUCGAUCCUAUUUUGUUGGUUUCUAGGAUUGACGUA
rnacentral:rRNA from 1 species